AUGGACAGCUAGAGGGCCACGAGCGUAUUGGCGUAGUGGAUUAUAUUGCAGACUGCACCUUUAACAGUAGAGCAUUGUUAGCAUUGGUCCCUGUCAGUGGAGAUGUUAUGUUAGUAUUGCUAGUAUCUUGCUUCACAAGUUGUGCUGUAGUUUUCCACUGCUGUGUGCUUUACUGUAGGCGUGAGCUGCAAAGGCUGCAGAGCCAGAGGGACUCCUGUCAGCUGGAGGUCACAGCUCUGCAGGAGGAACUGGACACCCUGCAGAGGAGCAGGACUGUCCUGCAAGAGGGAGGAGAGACCAGGAGGCUGAGUGGCAGUGUGUCUGUGCUGGAGAGGGAGGCGAUGGACCGACUGCUGGAGAAUGCCAAAUCCGCCCUGUUCACAGAACAGCGGCGCUUCAGACACACUCUCGACUCCAUGUCCGAAGUAUGCCACUCACUCAAGGAGCUUCCAC
rnacentral:lncRNA from 1 species